GCAGAUGUCUCUUUGAGAUACUGAUUUUGUUUCCUUGAGGUGUAUAUCCAGAAGUGGGGCUGCUGGAUCAUAUGGUAGUUCUAUUUUCAAUUUUUUGAGGAAUCUCCCAUAGCAUUUCCUAUAAUGGCUGUACUCAUCAAACAUUAAGAGAUAUUAUAGAUAUCUUGUAAUUAGAUGCUAAUCAGUGUACUGAGUUCUGAGUGUACAUGAGCAAUACAAAAGUAGGCCUUGGCUUUCAAGCACACACAUCUAUGGUGUCACGAACUUGGCUUGAGUGUGUGUUGACCCUUACAGCCCCUGCUAACAUCCUAGAAUUUUGGAUUUGGAGUGUAAACAGUAAAGUUGCACUCAUUUUCUUUAAAGAUAGAAUGCUAAAAACUAUUAUCAGUGGAUUUUAGUGUUCUGGUUAGUUGGCCCUUUGUUGAUCUUCAUUAUAAUUGAGAUUUUUCAGCUUUUUUCCAGACAAUUGAACAUCAUUGAUGAUGUUAAUUACUGUCUUUGAGGCAGAUUUC
rnacentral:lncRNA from 10 species